GGAGUGAGGGUGAUCUGACUGUGCGGCUGUCACCCCAGUGCUCAGCGGGGUUGAUUUGGCUGAUCUGGCUGGCUAGGGAUGUCCCUUUCCUCCCUCGGCGCUCCAUGUGUGUCCCACCCGGAGCUGCGCGCGGAGUGGAAGGGCACGACCUUCCCGGUUAGAGCAGAACUAUUCUUCGGUCAAGGGUAUACGAGUGGCUGUGCUCCCCUGCUAGAACCUCCAGACAGGUUCCCAAGAAGGGCAAUGUGAUCACAGAUAAGACUCGGCUCCUAGGAAAUGACGUCUUAGGGACCUGUUU
ensembl:misc_RNA 7SK 7SK RNA